UUAAAUUGAAGAGUUUGAUCAUGGCUCAGAUUGAACGCUGGCGGCAGGCCUAACACAUGCAAGUCGAACGGUAACAGGAAGCAGCUUGCUGCUUUGCUGACGAGUGGCGGACGGGUGAGUAAUGUCUGGGAAACUGCCUNGAUGGAGGGGGAUAACUACUGGAAACGGUAGCUAAUACCGCAUAACGUCGCAAGACCAAAGAGGGGGACCUUAGGGCCUCUUGCCAUCGGAUGUGCCCAGAUGGGAUUAGCUAGUAGGUGGGGUAACGGCUCACCUAGGCGACGAUCCCUAGCUGGUCUGAGAGGAUGACCAGCCACACUGGAACUGAGACACGGUCCAGACUCCUACGGGAGGCAGCAGUGGGGAAUAUUGCACAAUGGGCGCAAGCCUGAUGCAGCCAUGCCGCGUGUAUGAAGAAGGCCUUCGGGUUGUAAAGUACUUUCAGCGGGGAGGAAGGGAGUAAAGUUAAUACCUUUGCUCAUUGACGUUACCCGCAGAAGAAGCACCGGCUAACUCCGUGCCAGCAGCCGCGGUAAUACGGAGGGUGCAAGCGUUAAUCGGAAUUACUGGGCGUAAAGCGCACGCAGGCGGUUUGUUAAGUCAGAUGUGAAAUCCCCGGGCUCAACCUGGGAACUGCAUCUGAUACUGGCAAGCUUGAGUCUCGUAGAGGGGGGUAGAAUUCCAGGUGUAGCGGUGAAAUGCGUAGAGAUCUGGAGGAAUACCGGUGGCGAAGGCGGCCCCCUGGACGAAGACUGACGCUCAGGUGCGAAAGCGUGGGGAGCAAACAGGAUUAGAUACCCUGGUAGUCCACGCCGUAAACGAUGUCGACUUGGAGGUUGUGCCCUUGAGGCGUGGCUUCCGGAGCUAACGCGUUAAGUCGACCGCCUGGGGAGUACGGCCGCAAGGUUAAAACUCAAAUGAAUUGACGGGGGCCCGCACAAGCGGUGGAGCAUGUGGUUUAAUUCGAUGCAACGCGAAGAACCUUACCUGGUCUUGACAUCCACGGAAGUUUUCAGAGAUGAGAAUGUGCCUUCGGGAACCGUGAGACAGGUGCUGCAUGGCUGUCGUCAGCUCGUGUUGUGAAAUGUUGGGUUAAGUCCCGCAACGAGCGCAACCCUUAUCCUUUGUUGCCAGCGGUCCGGCCGGGAACUCAAAGGAGACUGCCAGUGAUAAACUGGAGGAAGGUGGGGAUGACGUCAAGUCAUCAUGGCCCUUACGACCAGGGCUACACACGUGCUACAAUGGCGCAUACAAAGAGAAGCGACCUCGCGAGAGCAAGCGGACCUCAUAAAGUGCGUCGUAGUCCGGAUUGGAGUCUGCAACUCGACUCCAUGAAGUCGGAAUCGCUAGUAAUCGUGGAUCAGAAUGCCACGGUGAAUACGUUCCCGGGCCUUGUACACACCGCCCGUCACACCAUGGGAGUGGGUUGCAAAAGAAGUAGGUAGCUUAACCUUCGGGAGGGCGCUUACCACUUUGUGAUUCAUGACUGGGGUGAAGUCGUAACAAGGUAACCGUAGGGGAACCUGCGGUUGGAUCACCUCCUUACCUUAAAGAAGC
rnacentral:rRNA from 1 species